UAUAGAUAUCCACUCAGGAUCAGCCUGGAACAAUCCUUUUUGGUAUUGAUUUUUCUUCUCUAAGAAAAAUUAGUUUGCAAAUCUGAAUGAAGCCUGGAUCGCAAUCAACUCUUUGAUCCUUUCUUUGAUCUUCUUCUUCUCUUCUUCUCUUGCUUUUCUUCUCUAGAUUAUGAAGCAAUCAGGGAUUAGAAACUAGCAAGCAAAGAAGGACACCCAAACACCUUUGGGCAUGGAAGAUGGAGGAUGCCCGACCUUGGGCAUUGGCUUUUCAAGGGAGAAGAUAGAGUAGAGAAGAGAGAGGGGG
rnacentral:lncRNA from 1 species